rnacentral:tRNA from 1 species
GGGAUUUAAGUUAAUGGUUUAACUUUGAAAUACUAAUCGAUAUUUCAUAAACUAGUUCGAUUCUAGUAAAUUCCA